ensembl:lncRNA
UCAACUUUGACGUUUUCGGCUGUCACAUAGAGACAGAUUAACAUCUUCAUUGCAUAUUUAGCGGAGAUUGUCGGUGUGUAAAAUGAUUUGGGAGGACAAACAGUGAUUUAACGAUGCAUUUAGCUGUGGUAUGAGGCAGGCGAAUUGAAGUGCAACGUUAGUAAAGGUGGUUUUGGGAAACGGCUCAAAUGUUAAGAUGCAAUUAAUUUAGCCUUAAAGCUGCAAUAUGUAGCUUUUUGGGUGACCUAACCAAAUUCACAUAGAAAUUAUUUAUAGAUCUAUCAUUCUCAGAAUACAAGUCUAAGAAGUGGUACAUCUUUCCUAUACUAUUUCUAUGCUUUCCGUUCUUAAAUUCAGUUUUUGUAUUUUUUUUAAACUUUCGGUUUAGUACACCAUGCAAAUAGCAAAAAAAAUGUUUUUGUUUCUGGAAAAUAUAUAUUCCCAGAAGUUUAGAUCAUAAAACGAUUCUCUACACAAUGACUGCUUGUUUUGUCACAUAAAAUGAAAUUAGGCAAACAUUUUAGCAACCAGGAAAUGGCGGGGCGAUUUCUGCGUACAGUAUUCUACCUUUAAGAUGCUUUUGGGAAACCUGACCCAGGCUCUUUUGGAGCCUCAAUCUGCCUUAAUUGCUUUGCAGAAAGCCUUCACUGAACUGAAAUUGGUUCUUAAUGCAGACAGACGUACGCGAUAUCAGACCCAGUCUCGGGGAUGGCUAACUCUAGAGAUCCCUUCAAUCUCCACUGAAUGUCCAGGCACGCUUUCCCUCUCGGAGGGUCGAUUCUAUUUGCCAACCUGUUUCAUCAAGGGUGACUCUCUGCAGACGCGGUCUCAGCCUCUUGAUCUUCUACAUCAUCUACAUGAUAGGAAUGAUCCUGGUGUUUGGUGUGGCCCCUUUGGUGGUUAGUCUGUUCAGUGUGUUCAGUCUAAUCAAGCAGCUGAGGAAGUUCUGGAGGCAGUUCCUAAAGUUCAUCAAUAGGAGGAAGAGGAGAAAGGGCAUGUGGUUGCCUCUACCAAACGACCAGCUCCCAAGUACAGCCAAGGUGCACAGACGUCGAGGUCAGAGGUGCCCUAGCAUCUACAGUGGCCCCAUCUCUGUGCUGCACCUGAACCAGACAGAGGACCAAGACACUAAGGAAGAGGCUAGACCAGGACACACAGCUGGAACAAAGACACAUUCACAGACCAAGACACAGCAAGCGACUGGACAGGAAGGGUCUGACAAGGAUGUGAACCAGAAUGGACAUGGAGAUGUCUCUACCUCGAGGAACCCAAAAGCCAGUCUGAAAAGAGACACCAUUCCACAGACAACCAGCCAUCCAAGCAGAAGCAAGAACAGAUGCAGCCGCAGGAACCAAUGAAGUGCAAACAACCACCGCCUGUGCUUCCAUCAAAGGGAUAUUUAUUGCUAUCUUUUUAUUUAAAAGAAACUCAUGCAGUUUACUGCAAACAAACUCUUUCUCUUUGUGAUCCUUUUUAUAUGAACAUAUUUAAAAAAUUAUUCAGAAAUAUCACAUGUAUUGUUAUCAAAUUAAGUAAAUAAAAAUCACAAAAAUAAUACAUUGUUAAAGAUGCUGUCAAAACAGAAUACAUUUUCAAACAUCUUGACACUACACAUUUACAACAAGUUCUCUCCCUGGACAUGUACAUCACGCUCAUACUGCAUGUCAUCC